rnacentral:rRNA from 1 species
UACGUAGGGUGCGAGCGUUAAUCGGAAUUACUGGGCGUAAAGCGUGCGCAGGCGGUUCGUUGUGUCGGCGGUGAAAGCCCCGGGCUCAACCUGGGAAUGGCCGUUGAAACUGGCGAACUGGAGUGUGGCAGAGGGGGGUGGAAUUCCGCGUGUAGCAGUGAAAUGCGUAGAUAUGUGGAGGAAUACCGAUGGCGAAGGCAGCCUCCUGGGCCAACACUGACGCUCAUGCACGAAAGCGUGGGGAGCAAACAGG